UCAGAACUGCUUCUGUCUGUCCAUACCUCC
rnacentral:piRNA from 1 species